GUGGCCUAUAUACACAACUAAAGGACAUUGUUCCAGUCACAGGUCUAUGUCCCCAAGCGGGACCUUAUGGUGUCCAGGACACGCUCCGAAGCAGCACUUGCUCUUGACACAUUCAGAGGGAGGGAUGAGAGCUUUGGGUUCGAGGACAUUCUUAAUGCCCAAUGUGAAUUGAUGGGAGAGCCACAUCUCAUGAUGCAGUACAAGUUGGGAUUCUUUAUGCGAUGCGCAGUGCAGAGAAUACCGGAAGAAGAAUUAUCAUUGAAUUAUUGUAAUGUUUGUUU